AUGCACAUGAUGAUUUACUCGGAUUCCCCUUCAAGACCUCUUGGAUGAUGCAAACCCGAGAUUCUGAUGCG
rfam:Lupinus angustifolius cultivar Tanjil chromosome LG12, whole genome shotgun sequence.